rnacentral:rRNA from 1 species
AGCGAACGCUGGCGGCAGGCUUAACACAUGCAAGUCGAACGGGCAUCUUCGGAUGUCAGUGGCAGACGGGUGAGUAACACGUGGGAACGUACCCUUCGGUUCGGAAUAACUCAGGGAAACUUGAGCUAAUACCGGAUACGCCCUUUUGGGGAAAGGUUUACUGCCGAAGGAUCGGCUCGCGUCUGAUUAGCUUGUUGGUGGGGUAACGGCCUACCAAGGCGACGAUCAGUAGCUGGUCUGAGAGGAUGAUCAGCCACACUGGGACUGAGACACGGCCCAGACUCCUACGGGAGGCAGCAGUGGGGAAUAUUGGACAAUGGGCGCAAGCCUGAUCCAGCCAUGCCGCGUGAGUGAUGAAGGCCUUAGGGUUGUAAAGCUCUUUUGUCCGGGACGAUAAUGACGGUACCGGAAGAAUAAGCCCCGGCUAACUUCGUG